AAAGGAUCGGUAAUGCAUUAGUUUAAAACUACGUUAUCUAUCUGAUAUUCCCAAUUCGAAAUUGAAGAUACUUUUUCUAGCUCUUGAGAACCUCU